UACGUAGGGGGCAAGCGUUGUCCGGAAUUAUUGGGCGUAAAGAGCGCGUAGGCGGUCCGGUAGGUCGGUUGUGAAAGUCGGGGGCUCAACCCUCGGAUGCCGAUCGAUACUGUCGGGCUAGAGUCCGGAAGAGGCGAGUGGAAUUCCUGGUGUAGCGGUGAGAUGCGCAGAUAUCAGGAGGAACACCAAUGGCGAAGGCAGCUCGCUGGGACGGUACUGACGCUGAGGCGCGAAAGCGUGGGGAGCAAACAGG
rnacentral:rRNA from 1 species